GUCCAGGGAUGGGAAUCGAAACCACAGUGUUCCGUUUACCGGGCAGAUGCCAUGUCCACUAAGCUACCCUGGA
rnacentral:tRNA from 1 species